rnacentral:rRNA from 1 species
AUUGAACGCUGGCGGCAGGCUCAACACAUGCAAGUCGAGCGGGGUGAUGGUGCUUGCACUAUCACUUAGCGGCGGACGGGUGAGUAAUGCUUAGGAAUCUGCCUAUUAGUGGGGGACAACAUCUCGAAAGGGAUGCUAAUACCGCAUACGUCCUACGGGAGAAAGCAGGGGAUCACUUGUGACCUUGCGCUAAUAGAUGAGCCUAAGUCGGAUUAGCUAGUUGGUGGGGUAAAGGCCUACCAAGGCGACGAUCUGUAGCGGGUCUGAGAGGAUGAUCCGCCACCCUGGGACUGAGACACGGCCCAGACUCCUACGGGAGGCAGCAGUGGGGAAUAUUGGACAAUGGGGGGAACCCUGAUCCAGCCAUGCCGCGUGUGUGAAGAAGGCCUUAUGGUUGUAAAGCACUUUAAGCGAGGAGGAGGCUCUUUUGGUUAAUACCCAAGAUGAGUGGACGUUACUCGCAGAAUAAGCACCGGCUAACUCUGUGCCAGCCGCCGCCGUAA